rnacentral:rRNA from 1 species
UUUGUCCUACGGGACGCAGCAGUGAGGAAUAUUGGUCAAUGGCCGAGAGGCUGAACCAGCCAAGUAGCGUGCAGGAUGACGGCCCUCGUGGUUGUAAACUGCUUUUAGUCGGGAAUAAAAGGGGGUUCGUGAAUCCCGUAUUGUAUGUACCGUCAGAAAAAGGACCGGCUAAUUCCGUGCCAGCAGCCGCGGUAAUACGGAAGGUCCGGGCGUUAUCCGGAUUUAUUGGGUUUAAAGGGGGCGUAGAUGGGUUGUUAAGUCAGUUGUGAAAGUUUGCGGCUCAACCGUAAAAUUGCAAUUGAUAU